UGAGGAAUAUUGGUCAAUGGGCGAGAGCCUGAACCAGCCAAGUAGCGUGCAGGAUGACGGCCCUAUGGGUUGUAAACUGCUUUUAUGGGGGGAUAAAGUGCGUGUCGUGUCAUGCAUUGCAGGUACCACAUGAAUAAGGACCGGCUAAUUCCGUGCCAGCAGCCGCGGUAAUACGGAAGGUCCGGGCGUUAUCCGGAUUUAUUGGGUUUAAAGGGAGCGUAGGCUGUCUAUUAAGCGUGUUGUGAAAUUUACCGGCUCAACCGGUGGGUUGACGCGCGAACUGGUCGACUUGAGUAUGCAGGAAGUAGGCGGAAUUCAUGGUGUAGCGGUGAAAUGCUUAGAUAUCAUGACGAACUCCGAUUGCGCAGGCAGCUUACUGUAGCAUAACUGACGAUGAUGCUCGAAAGUGCGGGUAUCAAACAGG
rnacentral:rRNA from 1 species